CUCAUAAUGACCUAUAAAAUAAAUUAGAAAAUAUCAAAUUCUUAAUAAUAAUGAUCAAUUAACAAAAGAUUCGAUGCUUUUUAUAUCAUAAAUAAUGUAUUUAUCAAUCAGUCAUUAAACUUUCACACCUCUUCCACCAAUGCUCCUUCCUAGCGGUUGGGAACGGUCAGCUAACAUCAUUUUGGAAAGAACCAUGGCAUGAUAGCAUGCCAUUCUACAUUAAGUUCCCUAACCUAUAUGCUCUUACCAAAAACC
rnacentral:lncRNA from 1 species